UACGGGGGGGGCAAGCGUUGUUCGGAAUUACUGGGCGUAAAGGGCUCGUAGGCGGCCAACUAAGUCGGACGUGAAAUCCCUCGGCUUAACCGGGGAACUGCGUCCGAUACUGGAUGGCUUGAGUUCGGGAGAGGGAUGCGGAAUUCCAGGUGUAGCGGUGAAAUUCGUAGAUAUCGGGAGGAACACCUGUGGCGAAAGCGGCUCACUGGACCACAACUGACGCUGAGGCGCGAAAGCUAGGGGAGCAAACAGG
rnacentral:rRNA from 1 species